GACGAACGCUGGCGGCGUGCUUAACACAUGCAAGUCGAACGGAAAGGCCCUGCUUUUGUGGGGUGCUUGAGUGGCGCACGGGUGAGUAACACGUGAGUAACCUGCCCCUGACUUUGGGAUAACAUCAGGAAACUGGGGCUAAUACCGGAUAGGAGCUUCUGCUGCAUGGUGGGGGUUGGUAAGUUUCGGCGGUUGGGGAUGGACGCGCGGCUUAUCAGCUUGUUGGUGGGGUAGUGGCUUACCAAGGGUUUGACGGGUAGCCGGCCUGGGAGGGUGACCGGCCACAUUAGGACUGAGAUACGGCCCAGACUCCUACGGGACGCAGCAGUGGGGAAUAUUGCACAAUGGGCGGAAGCCUGAUGCAGCAACGCCGCGUGCGGAAUGACGGCCUUCUGGUUGUAAACCGCUUUCGCCGGUGACGAAGCGUUAGUGACGGUAAUGGGUAAAGAAGCACCGGCUAACUACGUG
rnacentral:rRNA from 1 species